UGAGAGAACUCCUGCCAACCUUUGCCUCACCUUCUCUGUGACUCUCAGACACUGGAUCAGCUGACUACAGCCAAGACAUCAUCCUGCCACAGACCAGUCAUCACAGCACCAUCCUGACUGUUGAUCAACAGCAGAGUCAUCAGUGCUGGACCACACAGAGACCCUGUUCCUCCUCAGUGCUCAGGCUUCCUCACAACAGAGCAGAAGGUCUUCCUUCACUGUGAUUCUCCACUUCACAGUAGAGACCACUGCACAGCUCCACAAGCUAGUGAACUAUGUGAGAUGGCACUGUGUGCUUCCUCUCUGCAACAUCAAGCUCCUCCUCCAACACGUGUUAAAGGUCUCUGCACCUCUGUGUCCUCCAUGUUCACUGACACUGACCAGAUGACUGAAAGCAGAAGCUCUACAGCCACUGGAAAGGUCAAAGGUCAGUCCAUCUUCAUGCUGACACUGUGCUCUGUUGACAGUUUUGGUUUGUGCCAACAACUGACUGAAGAGCAUCAUGACAGAACAAACUAUGAACCCUGGACAGAAUGACUGUGUCUCUGAAAACAGCUCUGCAGUUUAAAGGAUCUUUUGGACUGUUGACCUCUACCCAACUGAGAUAUGUUUAUUCUGCAUCUCAUAAGAAUUUAUUCCUUUCCUUUUCAUUUCCUUUCCUCCCACCCCCCCAACUGCCCACCUGUCUCUUCAUCAAUAGAUAAAGAGAACAGAUAGAGAGGGAAAACAGGUCAAUUAGUUCAGGUGCCACAGGCACGUCAACUAAUUAACCUGGAGGAGAGGCCAGAUUUUAGUCAUCUUAAUCAUUAGUGUGGGGUGUCAGCUGCUAUGUAUGUUAAAGGUUUCUCACAUUUGUGCACUUAGCCUUGAUCUAAUCUAAAGCUCUGGGUACAGACAUGAGUCCUACACUGUUUAGAACUCCAGUGGUAAAAUGUGUGUGAAACUGAAGCUCA